GGAGCAACAGGAUUAGAUACCCUGGUAGUCCACGCCGUAAACGAUGAUCACUAGACGUUAGUCCUGCUUUGCGGAGAUUAGUGUCGUAGCUAACGCGUUAAGUGAUCCGCCUGGGGAUUACGGUCGCAAGACUAAAACUUAAAGGAAUUGACGGGGGUCCGCACAAGCGGUGGAACAUGUGGUUUAAUUCGACACUACGCGAGGAACCUUACCUAGGUUUGACAUGUAUUUGACCGCUGUAGAAAUACAGUUUUUUGAACUUUGUUCAAACAGAUACACAGGUGCUGCAUGGCUGUCGUCAGCUCGUGUCGUGAGAUGUCUGGUUGAGUCCUCUAACGAGCGCAACUCCUACUGCCAGUUGCUAUUCCGUAAGGAAGCACUCUGGUGGAACUGCCUGGGAAACCAGGAGGAAGGUGGGAAUGACGUCAAGUCCUCAUGGCCUUUAUGCCUAGGGCAACACACGUGUUACAAUGGUUGGUACAAAGGGCUGCAAUCUCGUAAGGGGGAGCUAAUCCUUAAAGCCAAUCUAAGUUCGGAUUGAGGUCUGCAACUCGACCUCAUGAAGUUGAAAUCGCUAGUAAUCGCAUAUCAGAACGAUGCGGUGAAUACGUUCUCGGGCCUUGUACACACCGCCCGUAAGGGC
rnacentral:rRNA from 1 species